UACGGAGGGUGCAAGCGUUAUCCGGAUUCACUGGGUUUAAAGGGUGCGUAGGCGGGCAGGUAAGUCAGUGGUGAAAUCUCCGAGCUUAACUCGGAAACUGCCGUUGAUACUAUUUGUCUUGAAUGUUGUGGAGGCAAGCGGAAUAUGUCAUGUAGCGGUGAAAUGCUUAGAUAUGACAUAGAACACCAAUUGCGAAGGCAGCUUACUACACAAUUAUUGACGCUGAGGCACGAAAGCGUGGGGAUCAAACAGG
rnacentral:rRNA from 1 species